GUCACCCUGUAUAGAAAUUGUUGAAACUAUUUAUGAUAGUAAGCUUGAACUCGACACAUUUUACGACCAUAAAAUGAGAUUCCUCAAUUUGUUUUUAGUAAUUUGUAGAAAAACAUAAUAAUAAUGUAUAAACAGCUGAUGAUUACCAUAGUUUCAACAUUUUACUUGUUCUGCAAACACCCGGUAUAGAAAUGUACACGACGUACACACAAGUAAAGUUCACUCGCCUUCGUGAGUUGCAAGAACUAUACAAUGUUUGUGAUUAAUGAAACUAAAGUUGUGAAUCUAUAUUUCCUAUGAGAUCAACGUGAUAAACAAUGUUUUCUCAGGAUUCGUGAGAAGAAAUUUAUCUAAAUUAAAUCAUAAUAGAAAUAUGCAUAUUUUAAUUCAAAUUUUAAUUGAAACCUAAUAGAAUAAGGUACGUAAUAAGAUAAAGGUAAUUCUUCCACAGUUGAGUAAAAGUUUUUUUUAGUUAAUUUUAGAUAAAAUUUCUUCUCAUUAUUUAUAAUUAUGUUUAUUAAUAUACAUCAGCUUUAUUAGUCCAAAACGACGUACUAAACGCUUCUAGCGCUCACUAGUUGGCGCCAAUUGCGAGUGACACGCCUUACUCGACAUGGCGCCAAGUGGGCGCGAACUCAAAAAAAAUACAUAAGUGAUAAAAAGAAUUUUUAAUUAGGUCAAUAUUUAUCGUGUAUUUGUGAUUGUGACUUAGAUAAUGCAUAGGACUUGUACUAAAUUAUUAUUUAUAAAAUAAAAUUGUCGUGUAUACAAAAUAGCAAGGAUGUAGCUAUUUAUAAUGUUAACGCCAAUAAAAAAUAACUGGCAUUCAAAUCUGUCUAUGUCCCUAGAAAUCUAAAUAAAUGGCGUGGUUCCUUAAAACUGAUACCCAUUGAACCCAGGUUAAGAAACUCUAUAACUUGAGAUCUCCUAGCUAGAUGACUGUAAGAUGAUAUAUCCCUGUAUUACAAAAUGUAUUAGUAGGUGUUUGUCAUCAUAACUUUUAAA